CCUACGGGAGGCAGCAGUGGGGAAUAUUGGACAAUGGGGGAAACCCUGAUCCAGCGACGCCGCGUGAGUGAAGAAGUAUUUCGGUACGUAAAGCUCUAUCCACAGGAAAGAAACUGACGGUACCUGACUAAGAAGCCCCGGCUAACUACGUGCCAACAGCCGCGGUAAUACGUAGGGGGCAAGCGUUAUCCGGAUUUACUGGGUGUAAAGGGGGCGUAGACGGCAGCGCAAGUCUGGCGUGAAAUGCCGGGGCGCAACCCCGGAACUGCUCUGGAAACUGUGAAGCUGGAGUGCAGGAGAGGUAAGCAGAAUUCCUGGUGUAGCGGUGAAAUGCGUAGAUAUUAGGAGGAACACCGGUGGCGAAGGCGGCUUACUGGACCGUAACUGACGUUGAGGCUCGAAAGCGUGGGGAGCAAACAGGAUUAGAUACCCGAGUAGUC
rnacentral:rRNA from 1 species